GAGGGCCAGAUACUGUAAACACCCUACACUCUCAGCUGUGCACAGUGAGAAAGCUGGGAGAAGGCUGUUUACUCUCUCUGCCUU
rnacentral:pre_miRNA from 5 species